rnacentral:rRNA from 1 species
CUCAAUGAAUUUUAUAUAGCCGCAAUAUUGUGCUAAGGUAGCAUAAUCAUUUGUUUUUUAAUUAAAAACUAGAACGAAAGAUUUAACAUUUUAAUUUCUUUCUUACAUAUAAAAAUUAAAUUUAUUUUAAAUAUUAAAAAAUAUUUAUACAUUAAAAAGACGAUAAGACCCUAUUGAACUUCACUAAAGUUUAACUGGGGUAGUUAAUUAAAUACAAUUUUAAUUCAAAUUUUCAAAAUACCUAAUAAAAUUAAAAUAAUCAAGUUACCAUAGGGAUAACAGCGUAAUAAAUUUUAAAAGAUCUUAUUUAAAAAUUUGUUUACGACCUCGAUGUUGAAUUAAUAAUCUAUUAAAUGCAAUAAUUUAAUAAAGAAAGUCUGUUCGACUU